rnacentral:rRNA from 1 species
CCUACGGGUGACAGCAGUCGAGAAUCAUUCACAAUGGGGGAAACCCUGAUGGUGCGACGCCGCGUGGGGGAAUGAAGCUCUUCGGAUUGUAAACCCCUGUCAUGUGGGAGCAAAUUAAAAAGAUAGUACCACAAUAGGAAGAGACGGCUAACUCUGUGCCAGCAGCCUCGGUAAUACAGAGGUCUCAAGCGUUGUUCGGAAUCACUGGGCGUAAAGCGUGCGUAGGCUGUUUCGUAAGUCGUGUGUGAAAGGCGCGGGCUCAACCCGCGGACGGCACAUGAUACUGCGAGACUAGAGUGAGGGAGGGGGAACCGGAAUUCUCGGUGUAGCAGUGAAAUGCGUAGAUAUCGAGAGGAACACUCGUGGCGAAGGCGGGUUCCUGGACAUUAACUGACGCUGAGGCACGAAGGCCAGGGGAGCGAAAGGGAUUAGAUACCCUUGUAGUC